rnacentral:rRNA from 1 species
GACGAACGCUGGCGGCGUGCUUAACACAUGCAAGUCGAACGCUGAAGCUCAGCUUUUGUUGGGUGGAUGAGUGGCGAACGGGUGAGUAACACGUGAGUAACCUGCCUCCUUCUUUGGGAUAACGCCCGGAAACGGGUGCUAAUACUGGAUAUUCACUGGCCUUCGCAUGGGGGCUGGUGGAAAGGGGUUUUCUGGUGGGGGAUGGGCUCGCGGCCUAUCAGCUUGGUGGGGGGGUGAUGGCCUACCAAGGCUUUGACGGGUAGCCGGCCUGAGAGGGUGACCGGUCACAUUGGGACUGAGAUACGGCCCAGACUCCGCCGGGGGGCAGCAGUGGGGACUAUUGCCCAAUGGGCGCCAGCCUGAUGCCGCGACGCCGCGUGAGGGAUGGGGGCCUUCGGGUUGUGAACCUCUUUCGCUCAUGGUCAAGCCGCAACCAUGGUUGUGGUGAGGGUAGUGGGUAAAGAAGCGCCGGCUAACUACGUG